UUAAGACCGCAUAACAUUACAAUGUGGCAUCACAAAGUAAUCAAAUAUUUAUAGGACGAAGAUGGGCAUGCGGAACAUUAGCUAGUUGGUGAGGUAACUGNNNNACCAAGGCUACGAUGUUUAGGGGAUCUGAGAGGAUGACCCCCCACACUGGUACUGAGACACGGACCAGACUCCUACGGGAGGCAGCAGUAAGGAAUAUUGGUCAAUGGGCGGAAGCCUGAACCAGCCAUGCCGCGUGCAGGAAGACGGCCCUACGGGUUGUAAACUGCUUUUGCAGGGGAAUAAACCUCGUUACGUGUAACGAGCUGAAUGUACUCUGAGAAUAAGGAUCGGCUAACUCCGUGCCAGCAGCCGCGGUAAUACGGAGGAUCCAAGCGUUAUCCGGAUUUAUUGGGUUUAAAGGGUGCGUAGGUGGCCUGUUAAGUCAGGGGUGAAAGACGGUAGCUUAACUAUCGCAGUGCCCUUGAUACUGAUGGGCUUGAAUGAACUAGAGGUAGGCGGAAUGUGAC
rnacentral:rRNA from 1 species